UACGUAGGGCGCAAGCGUUGUCCGGAAUUAUUGGGCGUAAAGAGCUCGUAGGCGGCCUGUUGCGUCCGCUGUGAAAUCCCGGGGCUCAACCCCCGGGCGUGCAGUGGAUACGGGCUGGCGUGGAGGCAGGCAGGGGGAGAACGGAAUUCCUGGUGUAGCGGUGGAAAUGCGCAGAUAUCAGGAGGAACACCGGUGGCGAAGGCGGGUCUCUGGGCCGUUACUGACGCUGAGGAGCGAAAGCGUGGGGAGCGAACAGG
rnacentral:rRNA from 1 species